UUAAGUUAUUAAGGGCGCACGGUGGAUGCCUUGGCACUAGAAGCCGAUGAAGGACGUUACUAACGACGAUAUGCUUUGGGGAGCUGUAAGUAAGCUUUGAUCCAGAGAUUUCCGAAUGGGGAAACCCAGCAUGAGUUAUGUCAUGUUAUCGAUAUGUGAAUACAUAGCAUAUCAGAAGGCACACCCGGAGAACUGAAACAUCUUAGUACCCGGAGGAAGAGAAAGAAAAUUCGAUUCCCUUAGUAGCGGCGAGCGAAACGGGAAGAGCCCAAACCAACAAGCUUGCUUGUUGGGGUUGUAGGACACUCUAUACGGAGUUACAAAGGACGACAUUAGACGAAUCAUCUGGAAAGAUGAAUCAAAGAAGGUAAUAAUCCUGUAGUCGAAAAUGUUGUCUCUCUUGAGUGGAUCCUGAGUACGACGGAGCACGUGAAAUUCCGUCGGAAUCUGGGAGGACCAUCUCCUAAGGCUAAAUACUCUCUAGUGACCGAUAGUGAACCAGUACCGUGAGGGAAAGGUGAAAAGCACCCCGGAAGGGGAGUGAAAUAGAACCUGAAACCGUGUGCUUACAAGUAGUCAGAGCCCGUUAAUGGGUGAUGGCGUGCCUUUUGUAGAAUGAACCGGCGAGUUACGAUUUGAUGCAAGGUUAAGCAGUAAAUGUGGAGCCGUAGCGAAAGCGAGUCUGAAUAGGGCGUUUAGUAUUUGGUCGUAGACCCGAAACCAGGUGAUCUACCCUUGGUCAGGUUGAAGUUCAGGUAACACUGAAUGGAGGACCGAACCGACUUACGUUGAAAAGUGAGCGGAUGAACUGAGGGUAGCGGAGAAAUUCCAAUCGAACCUGGAGAUAGCUGGUUCUCUCCGAAAUAGCUUUAGGGCUAGCCUCAAGUGAUGAUUAUUGGAGGUAGAGCACUGUUUGGACGAGGGGCCCCUCUCGGGUUACCGAAUUCAGACAAACUCCGAAUGCCAAUUAAUUUAACUUGGGAGUCAGAACAUGGGUGAUAAGGUCCGUGUUCGAAAGGGAAACAGCCCAGACCACCAGCUAAGGUCCCAAAAUAUAUGUUAAGUGGAAAAGGAUGUGGCGUUGCCCAGACAACUAGGAUGUUGGCUUAGAAGCAGCCAUCAUUUAAAGAGUGCGUAAUAGCUCACUAGUCGAGUGACACUGCGCCGAAAAUGUACCGGGGCUAAACAUAUUACCGAAGCUGUGGAUUGUCCUUUGGACAAUGGUAGGAGAGCGUUCUAAGGGCGUUGAAGCAUGAUCGUAAGGACAUGUGGAGCGCUUAGAAGUGAGAAUGCCGGUGUGAGUAGCGAAAGACGGGUGAGAAUCCCGUCCACCGAUUGACUAAGGUUUCCAGAGGAAGGCUCGUCCGCUCUGGGUUAGUCGGGUCCUAAGCUGAGGCCGACAGGCGUAGGCGAUGGAUAACAGGUUGAUAUUCCUGUACCACCUAUAAUCGUUUUAAUCGAUGGGGGGACGCAGUAGGAUAGGCGAAGCGUGCGAUUGGAUUGCACGUCUAAGCAGUAAGGCUGAGUAUUAGGCAAAUCCGGUACUCGUUAAGGCUGAGCUGUGAUGGGGAGAAGANNNNNNNNNNNNNNNNNNNNNNNNNNNNNNNNNNNNNNNNNNNNNNNNCUCGUUAAGGAACUCGGCAAAAUGACCCCGUAACUUCGGGAGAAGGGGUGCUCUUUAGGGUUAACGCCCAGAAGAGCCGCAGUGAAUAGGCCCAAGCGACUGUUUAUCAAAAACACAGGUCUCUGCUAAACCGUAAGGUGAUGUAUAGGGGCUGACGCCUGCCCGGUGCUGGAAGGUUAAGAGGAGUGGUUAGCUUCUGCGAAGCUACGAAUCGAAGCCCCAGUAAACGGCGGCCGUAACUAUAACGGUCCUAAGGUAGCGAAAUUCCUUGUCGGGUAAGUUCCGACCCGCACGAAAGGCGUAACGAUUUGGGCACUGUCUCAACGAGAGACUCGGUGAAAUCAUAGUACCUGUGAAGAUGCAGGUUACCCGCGACAGGACGGAAAGACCCCGUGGAGCUUUACUGUAGCCUGAUAUUGAAAUUCGGCACAGCUUGUACAGGAUAGGUAGGAGCCUUUGAAACGUGAGCGCUAGCUUACGUGGAGGCGCUGGUGGGAUACUACCCUAGCUGUGUUGGCUUUCUAACCCGCACCACUUAUCGUGGUGGGAGACAGUGUCAGGCGGGCAGUUUGACUGGGGCGGUCGCCUCCUAAAAGGUAACGGAGGCGCUCAAAGGUUCCCUCAGAAUGGUUGGAAAUCAUUCAUAGAGUGUAAAGGCAUAAGGGAGCUUGACUGCGAGACCUACAAGUCGAGCAGGGUCGAAAGACGGACUUAGUGAUCCGGUGGUUCCGCAUGGAAGGGCCAUCGCUCAACGGAUAAAAGCUACCCCGGGGAUAACAGGCUUAUCUCCCCCAAGAGUUCACAUCGACGGGGAGGUUUGGCACCUCGAUGUCGGCUCAUCGCAUCCUGGGGCUGUAGUCGGUCCCAAGGGUUGGGCUGUUCGCCCAUUAAAGCGGUACGCGAGCUGGGUUCAGAACGUCGUGAGACAGUUCGGUCCCUAUCCGUCGUGGGCGUAGGAAAUUUGAGAGGAGCUGUCCUUAGUACGAGAGGACCGGGAUGGACAUACCUCUGGUGUACCAGUUGUCGUGCCAACGGCAUAGCUGGGUAGCUAUGUGUGGACGGGAUAAGUGCUGAAAGCAUCUAAGCAUGAAGCCCCCCUCAAGAUGAGAUUUCCCAACUUCGGUUAUAAGAUCCCUCAAAGAUGAUGAGGUUAAUAGGUUCGAGGUGGAAGCAUGGUGACAUGUGGAGCUGACGAAUACUAAUCGAUCGAAGACUUAAUCAA
rnacentral:rRNA from 1 species